UACCGCUGUCCUGGGUGCCU
rnacentral:miRNA from 7 species